rnacentral:tRNA from 1 species
GGCCUCGUAGUUCAGGUAGUUAGAGUGUUGGCUGUACUAAAACCUUUCGCAUGUUGUCGUGGGUUCGAAUCCCACCGAGGCCU